rnacentral:rRNA from 1 species
UACAGAGGGUGCGAGCGUUACUCGGAAUUACUGGGCGUAAAGCGUGCGUAGACGGCUAUCUAAGUCGGGUGUGAAAGCCCCGGGCUCAACCUGGGAAUUGCAUUCGAGACUGAAUAGCUAGGGUACGGUAGAGGGAAGUGGAAUUUCCGGUGUAGCGGUGAAAUGCGUAGAUAUCGGAAGGAACAUCAGUGGCGAAAGCGACUUCCUGGACCAGCACUGACACUGAGGCACGAAAGCGUGGGGAGCAAACAGG